rnacentral:rRNA from 1 species
UGGGGAAUCUUGGACAAUGGGGGCAACCCUGAUCCAGCCAUGCCGCGUGAGUGAUGAAGGCCUUAGGGUCGUAAAGCUCUUUCGCCUGUGAAGAUAAUGACGGUAGCAGGUAAAGAAACCCCGGCUAACUCCGUGCCAGCAGCCGCGGUAAUACGGAGGGGGUUAGCGUUGUUCGGAAUUACUGGGCGUAAAGCGCACGUAGGCGGACCAGAAAGUUGGGGGUGAAAUCCCGGGGGCUCAACCCCGGAACUGCCUCCAAAACUAUUGGUCUAGAGUUCGAGAGAGGUGAGUGGAAUUCCAAGUGUAGAGGUGAAAUUCGUAGAUAUUUGGAGGAACACCAGUGGCGAAGGCGGCUCACUGGCUCGAUACUGACGCUGAGGUGCGAAAGUGUGGGGAGCAAACAGGAUUAGAUACCCUGGUAGUCCACACCGUAAAACGAUGAAUGCCAGUCGUCGGGGUAGCAUGCUAUUCGGUGACACACCUAACGGAUUAAGCAUUCCGCCUGGGGAGUACGGUCGCAAGAUUAAAA